rnacentral:rRNA from 1 species
UACGAAGGGGGCUAGCGUUGUUCGGAAUUACUGGGCGUAAAGCGUACGUAGGCGGAUUGUUAAGUGAGGGGUGAAAUCCCGAGGCUCAACCUCGGAACUGCCCUUCAUACUGGCAAUCUUGAGUCCGGGAGAGGUGAGUGGAACUCCUAGUGUAGAGGUGAAAUUCGUAGAUAUUAGGAAGAACACCAGUGGCGAAGGCGGCUCACUGGCCCGGAACUGACGCUGAGGUACGAAAGCGUGGGGGGCAAACAGG